AAGUCGUAACAAGGUUUCCGUAGGUGAACCUGCGGAAGGAUCAUUACCUUUCAUGGCAUAUUAAUAGGCUUGGUCAUGGGGGCUGUAGUUUCUGCAGUCCCUGACUACAUCCGUGCUUUUUGGUGUACUACCAUGUUUCCUCGGCGGGCUUGCCUCGCCGGUCGGACAAACAUAAAACUCUUUCGCAAUUGCAAUCAGCGUCUGAAUUAUAUAAUGAAUUACAAA
rnacentral:misc_RNA from 1 species